UACGAAGGGGGCUAGCGUUGCUCGGAAUCACUGGGCGUAAAGGGUGCGUAGGCGGGUCUUUAAGUCCGGGGGGAAAUCCUGGAGCUCAACUCCAGAACUGCCUUUGAUACUGAGGAUCUUGAGUCCGGGAGAGGUGAGUGGAACUGCGAGUGUAGAGGUGAAAUUCGUAGAUAUUCGCAAGAACACCAGUGGCGAAGGCGGCUCACUGGCCCGGUACUGACGCUGAGGUGCGAAAGCGUGGGGAGCAAACAGG
rnacentral:rRNA from 1 species